UACGGAGGGGGCUAGCGUUGUUCGGAAUUACUGGGCGUAAAGCGCACGUAGGCGGCUUUGUAAGUUAGAGGUGAAAGCCCGGGGCUCAACUCCGGAAUUGCCUUUAAGACUGCAUCGCUAGAAUUGUGGAGAGGUAAGUGGAAUUCCGAGUGUAGAGGUGAAAUUCGUAGAUAUUCGGAAGAACACCAGUGGCGAAGGCGACUUACUGGACACAUAUUGACGCUGAGGUGCGAAAGCGUGGGGAGCAAACAGGAGUUAGAUAC
rnacentral:rRNA from 1 species